UACGUAGGGGCCAAGCGUUGUCCGGAUUUAUUGGGCGUAAAGAGCUCGUAGGCGGUUCGGCAAGUCAGCUGUGAAAUCUCCACGCUCAACGUGGAGGGGUCAGCUGAUACUGCUGUGACUCGAGUCCGGUAGGGGAGUGUGGAAUUCCCGGUGUAGCGGUGAAAUGCGUAGAGAUCGGGAGGAACACCAGAGGCGAAGGCGGCGACCUGGACAGAUACUGACACUCAACUACGAAAGCGUGGGUAGCAAACAGG
rnacentral:rRNA from 1 species